UACGUAGGGGGCUAGCGUUGUCCGGAAUCAUUGGGCGUAAAGAGCGUGUAGGCGGCCCGGUAAGUCCGCUGUGAAAGUCGGGGGCUCAACCCUCGAAUGCCGGUGGAUACUGUCGGGCUAGAGUGCGGAAGAGGAGAAUGGAAUUCCUGGUGUAGCGGUGAAAUGCGCAGAUAUCAGGAGGAACACCAAUUGCGAAGGCAGCUCGCUGGGACGUAACUGACGCUGAGACGCGAAAGCGUGGGGAGCAAACAGG
rnacentral:rRNA from 1 species